rfam:Roseobacter sp. GAI101 scf_1106754216549 genomic scaffold, whole genome shotgun sequence.
AAUCAAGCGCGAAAAGGGCGUUUGGUGAAUGCCUUGGCAGUAAGAGGCGAUGAAAGACGUGAUACUCUGCGAUAAGCCAUGGGGAGCUGAGAAUAAGCUUUGAUCCAUGGAUUUCUGAAUGGGGCAACCCACCUGAUACUUUGUUAUUAUUACCCUUCGGGGUAGCUAAUAAUGAGGUAAACCAGGUAUUUAUAGACUGAAUACAUAGGUUUAUAAAAGCAAACCCGGGGAACUGAAACAUCUAAGUACCCGGAGGAAAGGAAAUCAAUUGAUACUCCCCUAGUAGCGGCGAGCGAACGGGGACCAGCCGAGCCUCAAUUGUGGUUAGAAUGCGUUGGAAUGCGCAACCAAAGUGGGUGACAGUCCCGUAUAAGAAGCAUGAGAGGACGUAUUAAGUAGGGCGGAACACGUGAAAUUCUGUCUGAAGAUCGGAGGACCACCUUCGAAGGCUAAGUACUCCUUACUGACCGAUAGUGAACCAGUACCGUGAGGGAAAGGUGAAAAGCACCCCGACGAGGGGAGUGAAACAGUACCUGAAACCGAACGCCUACAAUCAGUUGGAGGAUCUUUACGAUCUGACAGCGUACCUUUUGUAUAAUGGGUCAUCGACUUGGUCUCACAAGCAAGCUUAAGCCGUUAGGUGUAGGCGCAGCGAAAGCGAGUCUUAAUAGGGCGUUGAGUUUGUGGGAUCAGACCCGAAACCGAGUGAUCUAGGCAUGGCCAGGUUGAAGGUAAGGUAACACUUACUGGAGGACCGAACCCACAUCCGUUGAAAAGGAUCGGGAUGAGCUGUGCCUAGGGGUGAAAGGCCAAUCAAACUCGGAGAUAGCUGGUUCUCUGCGAAAUCUAUUUAGGUAGAGCGUCAUCCGAAUACCCUCGGGGGUAGAGCACUGGAUGGGUAAUGGGGCCCCACAGGCUUACUGAUCCUAACCAAACUCCGAAUACCGAGGAGUACUAGAUGGCAGACACACGGCGAAUGCUAACGUCCGUCGUGAAGAGGGAAACAACCCUGACCUACAGCUAAGGCCCCUAAUUCAUGGCUAAGUGGGAAAGCAGGUGAGACGACCAAAACAACCAGGAGGUUGGCUUAGAAGCAGCCAUCCUUUAAAGAUAGCGUAACAGCUCACUGGUCUAAAUAAGUUGUCUUGCGGCGAAGAUGUAACGGGGCUCAAGCCAUGAGCCGAAGCUUAGGAUGCAUUUAUUGCAUGGUAGCAGAGCGUAGUGUGACAUAAGACUACGUCUUUAUUGAUCUUUUGUAGUACCAAGGUUUGUUGUUUGGGUGUUCGCACUCAAGUAGCCAAAGGCGGUAGUGCAUAUAAAGAGAUCAUAAAAGACAAAGUCUUUUCUGUGAAGCGGGCCUGUGAGGGAUCCCGUGGAGAGAUCACUAGUGAGAAUGAUGACAUGAGUAGCGACAAAGAGUGUGAGAGACACUCUCGCCGAAAAUCCAAGGGUUCCUGCUUAAAGCUAAUCUGAGCAGGGUAAGCCGACCCCUAAGGCGAGGCCGAAAGGCGUAGUCGAUGGGAACCAGGUUAAUAUUCCUGGGCCAGAUGGAAGUGACGGAUCUCGAGGGUAGUUCAUCCUUAUCGGAUUGAAUGGGCUGCUUAGAGGUCCCUGGAAAUAGCUCCAUCGCUAGAUCGUACCCUAAACCGACACAGGUGGAUAGGUAGAGAAUACCAAGGCGCUUGAGAGAACUAUGUUGAAGGAACUCGGCAAAAUACCUCCGUAAGUUCGCGAGAAGGAGGCCCGGUUUCUAGGCAACUAGAGGCUGGGGGCACAAACCAGGGGGUGGCGACUGUUUAUUAAAAACACAGGGCUCUGCGAAGUCGUAAGACGACGUAUAGGGUCUGACGCCUGCCCGGUGCCUGAAGGUUAAAAGGAGGGGUGAGAGCUCUGAAUUGAAGCCCAGGUAAACGGCGGCCGUAACUAUAACGGUCCUAAGGUAGCGAAAUUCCUUGUCGGGUAAGUUCCGACCUGCACGAAUGGCGUAACGACUUCCCCGCUGUCUCCAACAUAGACUCAGCGAAAUUGAAUUACCGGUCAAGAUGCCGGUUACCCGCGGUUAGACGGAAAGACCCCGUGCACCUUUACUACAACUUCACACUGGCAUUAGGCCGAACAUGUGCAGGAUAGGUGGUGGGCUUUGAAGCGUGGACGCCAGUCUGCGUGGAGCCUCCCUUGAGAUACCACCCUUGUUCUGCUUGAUGUCUAACCGCGGUCCGUUAUCCGGAUCCGGGACCCUGUGUGGUGGGUAGUUUGACUGGGGCGGUCGCCUCCUAAAUCGUAACGGAGGCGCGCGAAGGUUGGCUCAGAGCGGUCGGAAAUCGCUCGUUGAGUGCAAUGGCAGAAGCCAGCCUGACUGCGAGACUGACAAGUCGAGCAGAGUCGAAAGACGGCCAUAGUGAUCCGGUGGUCCCAAGUGGGAGGGCCAUCGCUCAACGGAUAAAAGGUACGCCGGGGAUAACAGGCUGAUACUGCCCAAGAGUCCAUAUCGACGGCAGUGUUUGGCACCUCGAUGUCGGCUCAUCUCAUCCUGGGGCUGGAGCAGGUCCCAAGGGUACGGCUGUUCGCCGUUUAAAGAGGUACGUGAGCUGGGUUUAGAACGUCGUGAGACAGUUCGGUCCCUAUCUUCCGUGGGUGUAGGAUACUUGAGAGGAGUUGCCCCUAGUACGAGAGGACCGGGGUGAACGAUCCACUGGUGGACCAGUUGUUAUGCCAAUAGCAGUGCUGGGUAGCUAUGAUCGGACAGGAUAACCGCUGAAGGCAUCUAAGCGGGAAGCCCCCCUCAAAACAAGGUAUCCCUGAGAGCCGAGGUAGACCACCUCGUCGAUAGGCCAGAGAUGUAAGCGUAGUAAUACGUUCAGUUGACUGGUACUAAUGGCUCGAUAGGCUUGAUUUG